ACUGUUGAUGGAGACAUGUGUUUAUUUAUGUUUCGAAAUGAGACUCCUAAUUACAUUUAUAUCAGAAAUUGUUUGUAACCAUUUCGCAGUUUUGAUUGGUUGCUAUGGCAAAGUUGUUAAUUAUAUGUUUUGUUUGCAGCAACCAAUCUACAAACUGAGGAUUUCAUCCCAUCGCCCUUUGCUAGGAACCAGGUUUCAUUGUAUCCACUAUAUCACCUCGCUUGUUUGUUCAUUUCAUAUUUAAAUAUGUUAUCCAAUAUGAACAAUCCAGUCAUUUUGUAUGUUGUUUUCUUGCCAUUCUAUGCUAAUAUUAUUAUUUGUUCAAAUGCUUAUUUUUUUCUCUGAAAUGGCAUGAUCCCCAUCAAAACAAACUAUGUGAAUUGUUAGGUAAUUAAGUUCAAACUGUGAGCCGGAGCGCGAGAGAUCGCCACCGUUAUUGCCUCUACUUGCGCAGCCUACUGCAUGACCGCAACCCCUGGUACAUACCUAUUACCGAAUAAUACACAUGAAUGUGAGAUUUUCCUACCUUAUUUCAAUUCAGUUUGAGGUUGCAUUUUUUGCUGGUUUGUGAGAAUAUCUCGAGUCAGAUAAGGCAUGUCAAAAUGGGUGAUUAAGGUACUUCUAUUUUCAGGAUUUUAACAAGGCUGCCUGGUUUGUCACACUUUUAAAUGAAAAUCAGAAAAUGAUAAUUACAAAUGAUGGACAAAAUCCUUAAUUUAAUAUGUAUAGCCUCUUUGUCUGAAUUAAGACCAAUGCUUACUGAUUGAAUGGUGUCAACACGUUGGUAUCUAUCAAUUGGCUGUAAUGCUGCCCCAUUAGAUAUUCUGAGCUUAUUUUUAGCUUGCACAUUUUUGUUUCUUUCUUAAUUUAAGGCGGCAUAGGUUUCCGUGAAAGAGGAUCUUACAAAUUGGAUGCCAAUAUUUUUUAUCAAAAGAUUCUUAAAUUUCACGUACCAUCAAGUGACUGGUUUGCGAUCUUCCACACAUUACUUUAGGUAUCUCUUUGCCACAAAAUUCGGUAAAUUUCUUGUGAACUUAUUUUGAUAUUUUGUUGUGUCUUAAAAGCAAUUGGCUAAUUUUACUCCAGCGUUAGCAUGUGGAAGGUAUCGUAAUUAUUACGGGCACAUCUACAUUCAUGCACAUACACUGAGCUUUAAUCACUUCAUGCAAUUCUCAUUUGAUAUAGUAAGGACAGUUUUGUAAACGACACUCAAUUAUGAUUCUGAUUCGAUAGAUGAUGUUCUCUUACGGAUAUUAGCAAAAAUGUUAUGUAGGUAAUGUUGUUAUUAUUGUUUCCUUCAUCAACAUACACCACGUUAUUUACAGAGCAAUUAUAACUGUCUUAUACUUCUCCUUGGGACACUGCUUAUGUAUUUAUUUCUUCAAUUGAUUUGCCUUACUAAUAGUAUUUUGUUUGUAUUUCGAUGUAAGCAAUUGUAAGUCGGUUAACAUGUAGCACAACUUGAGACAUUGUUUCACAACCCACUGGCAUUUGAUAUUGAGCUUACGGCUUUUAUUAUUGUAGAUCGGAUGGAAUUUUACGACCUCAAAUCUGAGCAAGUGCACAUUCACGCAUCUAUCCUGGUGCAAUGCAAGAAUACUUGACCGUUAUAAUAUGAUGAUGUAGUGUAAUUGUAUCACUGGCCAGAACGCAUUGAAAUUUUCUUGAUAAUAUAUUGGAAGUUCUGAAAUAUUUGUACUGCCUAUUUUCUUCUCUCGAGUAUUCCUAAUGUCUUUCCUCUGUCUUUCCUCAAUAUUCUAUUUUGUAGCUAUCGUGAUGUGAACCUUUGCGGGAGAUGCCACAAUCCAUAUCAAUCAUCCUAAUUCAUAUCUCUCCUAAUUCAUAUCUCAUGCGCUUAAUACUGCUU
rnacentral:lncRNA from 1 species